UACGUAGGGGGCUAGCGUUGCUCGGAAUCACUGGGCGUAAAGGGCGCGUAGGCGGAUCUUUAAGUCGGGGGUGAAAGACUGAGGCUCAACCUCAGAAUUGCCUUCGAUACUGGAGAUCUUGAGACCGGAAGAGGUGAGUGGAACUGCGAGUGUAGAGGUGAAAUUCGUAGAUAUUCGCAAGAACACCAGUGGCGAAGGCGGCUCACUGGUCCGGUUCUGACGCUGAGGCGCGAAAGCGUGGGGAGCAAACAGG
rnacentral:rRNA from 1 species